rnacentral:rRNA from 1 species
UACAGAGGUCUCAAGCGUUGUUCGGAUUCAUUGGGCGUAAAGGGCGCGUAGGCGGCCUUGUAAGUCGAAUGUGAAAGCCCAGGGCUCAACCUUGGAAGUGCAUCCGAAACUGCAAGGCUCGAAUCUCGGAGAGGGUGGUGGAAUUCCCAGUGUAGAGGUGAAAUUCGUAGAUAUUGGGAGGAACACCGGUGGCGAAGGCGACCACCUGGACGAAGAUUGACGCUGAGGCGCGAAAGCGUGGGGAGCAAACAGG